GUGCCAGCAGCCGCGGUAAUACGUAGGCAGCGAGCGUUGUUCGGAGUUACUGGGCGUAAAGGGUGCGUAGGCGGCCUUUUAAGUUUGGUGUGAAAUCUCCCGGCUCAACCGGGAGGGUGCGCCGGAUACUGAGGGGCUAGAGUGCGGGAGAGGAAAGUGGAAUUCCUGGUGUAGCGGUGAAAUGCGUAGAUAUCAGGAGGAACACCUGCGGUGUAAACGGCUUUCUGGACCGUAACUGACGCUGAGGCACGAAAGCGUGGGUAGCAAACAGGAUUAGAAACCCGCGUAGUCC
rnacentral:rRNA from 1 species